CGCCCUCAAUCAUUCCUUUCCACCAUCCAAAAUGUCCUCCUGAGAAUUCACGUCUACUAAGUACCAGCCGACCAAUUCAGGGUUCCCUCGUUAGGGUUUAUCUUGAUUGUGGCAGACUUCACAGUUGUUCAGUGCAGCAUUCCCCUGAUGGCAAUCAAACCCUUUGUUGAGGCCAUGGUUGCAACUUCAGAAGGUAAUAUAAACCCCUCUCUUUGCUCACUGUUAGUAUAAAUUUCAGAAUCUUCAGUCAAUGUCAUUCACACUGUGCAAAACCAUAUAUGUCUGAUGGGCAAUGAAAUUAUCACUCAUAAACAGUCACCCCGGCCUCCUUAUCUGAUCAUGGGAAUCUAUGUUACAUUUACUUCAAUUCUUCAGUUUUUCAUUAUUGAUCUUUUGUUUUCAAAUUGGAGAAAUGCAGAAGUAAAUUUGCUUAAGAGUGGUUUAGAUGUAUGAGCAAUGGGGUGAGGAAGAUGACACUUUUUAUUUACUUAUAUAGGGAGUGAUUUAAAUCAUAGUUUUGUUUUCAAUGAUCUUUUUAUUCCGAUGGGCAAGUGGCUUUGUAUAUCUGAAAAGGAGGGGAUAAAGAAUACCACUUUCUUGACCUAUCGUUGUCCAGGAAGUCCAUGAUAUUCGCUGAGUUUUCUUAUAUAUAAUCCAUUGCUUUUAGUUAUCAUUAUCGGUGUUGAUAAAUGACAGGAUAACACGGGAUAUAUUCCUAAUCUGUGUGUUCUGGCGUGUGGUUUCUACCGUUUGUGCCAACUUGUUAAACAUUAGAGAACCUCCUGAGUUCUUGAAAAGCCAAAGUGUCUGUCAUGGGUGCUUAGAGCCAAAUUGUAUGGCAGGCAGGCAUUCUGUUAGCGUAGCGCCAUAGCCUUGCUUUUGACCGAAAAGACUAUACACACACAAGGAUUUGUCUCUUUUGUGCCUUUCAACUUCACGAAAUUUUGUUCUCUGGGAAUAACUUUACACUCCACUUCUAUCGUGGCAUUGAAUCCUUCUUUGCAUACGCCCCCCUCCCUCCCGCACAGUUUCUUCCAUUUUCUCGAGGAUGGAACUCCUAUACCUCCAUUAACAAGCUAGACAGUGUGAAUUCAGACGUAGAUACAGAGAAUAUUACUAUGGUAGGGAUUCUAGCUUCCUCAGCGGAUUGCAUCCACACGAUCAAAUAGAAACCAAUUGUAUAUUGUUUGUUAUAUUUCUAUGGUUUUUGUUCUGUUUCAUGUCGAAUGUAGAUUGUAGCUGUACAAUGUAGAUUGUAAUAGAGUCAAUAGUACAAAAAAAAAUGUAGGUUGAGUCUCUCUAGUCUCUACUGUCUUGUAUAUCAGAUGUGGAUAUCUGCUGCUUCAAUUUCUUUCAUAUCUCUUAAACAAGAAAUCUGUAAGGUUCCCCAGAGCACAUUUUUGUGGAAAAUGACCAUUGAUGCUCA